CAAGUCGAACGAGAAAGGGGAGCAAUCCCUGAGUACAGUGGCGUACGGGUGAGUAACACGUGGAUGAUCUAUCUCUUUGUGGGGAAUAACUCUGGGAAACCGGAGAUAAUACCGCAUAUGCUCGAGAGAGGAAAGCAGCAAUGCGCUGAGAGAGGAGUCCGCGGCCGAUUAGCUAGUUGGCAGGGUAAAAGCCUACCAAGGCAUAGAUCGGUAGCCGGCCUGAGAGGGCACACGGCCACACUGGCACUGAAACACGGGCCAGACUCCUACGGGAGGCAGCAGUGGGGAAUCUUGCACAAUGGGGGCAACCCUGAUGCAGCGACGCCGCGUGAGCGAUGAAGCCCUUCGGGGUGUAAAGCUCUUUCGGCAGGGAAGAUUAUGACGGUACCUGCAGAAGCAGCUGCGGCUAACUACGUGCCAGCAGCCGCGGUAAUACGUAGGCAGCGAGCGUUGUUCGGAGUUACUGGGCGUAAAGGGUGUGUAGGCGGUUGUUUAAGUUUGGUGUGAAAUCUCCCGGCUCAACUGGGAGGGUGCGCCGAAUACUGAAUGACUUCGAGUACGGGAGAGGUGAGUGGAAUUCCUGGUGUAGCGGUGAAAUGCGUAGAUAUCAGGAGGAACACCGGUGGUGUAGACGGCUCACUGGACCGUAACUGACGCUGAGACACGAAAGCGUGGGUAGCAAACAGGAUUAGAUACCCUGGUAGUCCACGCCCUAAACGAUGCAUAUUUGGUGUGGGCAGUUCAUUCUGUCCGUGCCGGAGCUAACGCGUUAAAUAUGCCGCCUGGGGAGUACAGUCGCAAGGCUGAAACUCAAAGGAAUUGACGGGGGCCCGCACAAGCGGUGGAGCAUGUGGUUCAAUUCGACGCAACGCGAAGAACCUUACCUAGGCUCGAACGGCU
rnacentral:rRNA from 1 species